UACACAGUUACGGUCGGAAGUUUACAUACCCCUUGCAGAAUCUACAAAAUAUUAAUACUCUUAACAAAAUAAGAUUGAUCCUGUGUGAUCGUUGGGAACUCCAUUGUGCGAAACGUCCGCGUCGCUUCAACAAGGGGUAAGGUGCACACACAGUUUUUCUUUUGUUUGUGUCCUUGAUGUCGCUGAGCAGCUACCAGGAAUCCUGAAGAAGGACUAGCGCAUUGGAGCGGUCGUGCUGCACGUGGGGGCAAACAUCAGGCUGUGGCAGGCGGAGGUUCUGAAGAGGGACUUCUCCAGCCUGAUCGAGACGGUACGAGGCAGAUCACCCACCGCGAAGAUCAUCGUCUCUGGACCUCUUCCCUCAUACAGAGGUGGAGCUGAAAGGCUCAGUAGACUUCUUGCUUUGAAUGACUGGUUAGUUUCUUGGUGUAAUGAACAGAAUCUGCUGUUUGUUAAUAACUGGAAUCUGUUCUGGGAUCGGAACUGCUGUCAGACAACAUUUCCAAGACGCUACAGACCAAGUGACUGUCUACCGUCAAAUUAUUCAUAAACAUGGAAUGAAUUUCCACUGUUAUGCUGAUGAUACAGAGCUGUAUGUUUGCAACUGAACAAUAACAACAAUAAACAACAACUGAAGAAUAGCGAAAAACUUCAACUGUUUUCGUGCUUACUUGAAGACGAUGAGGCAGAGCAGCAUCGGAGAGACAGUUCGCUCCAUUCUCCAAAGAAUCGGGGAGAACAGUCUGUAAUGUAUGUUUUUGUUGAAAGUGUCAAAAGGUGGGAAGCUGGCUUUGACUGAUCAGGAUGAAGUGUAUCGCCUUGUACACUAUAUUGCCGAACAAGCACAUGGACGUGAAUAUACUGUUGCCGGUUGCAGAGAGGCCAUCGGCAGCUACCUAAAAAAUGCCCCAGGCAGGAAAAGUGGCAAGAAACAUAUUAUGAGUGUUUAUGAUGAAGCAGAGCUACGUGGGAUCUCCAGUGCGUCCUGCAAGAAUUGGGCCUGAGUCCAGUUCAGAUUCAAUUUUGUAAUCUCAUUCCUCUCCCUUGCGUGACAGCCUCCAAACAGUACAAUUCUAAUGAGCUUGAAUAUACGGGGAAUUCCAUUGGGUUUGAUGUCUGACUAAUUAAAGACCCACCUCUUCUAUGAACACCUAAC